AUUAGUUUGAUCCUGGCUCAGAUUGAACGCUGGCGGCAGCUUAACACAUGCAAGUCGAGCGGGGUGAAGUGCUUCGGUACUGAUCCUAGCGGCGGACGGUGAGUCAUGCUUAUGAAUCUGCCAUUUAGUGGGGGACAACAUUCCGAAAGGAAUGCUAAUACCGCAUACGUCCUACGAGGGAAAGCAGGGGAUCUUCGGACCUUGCGCUAAAUGAUGAGCCUAAAUCGGAUUAGCUAGUUGGUGGGGUAAAGGCCUACCAAGGCGACUAUCUGUAGCGGGUCUGAAAGGAUGAUCCGCCACACUGGGACCGAGACACGGCCCAGACUCCUACGGGAGGCAGCAGUGGGGAAUAUUGGACAAUGGGCGGAAGCCUGAUCCAGCCAUGCCGCGUGUGUGAAGAAGGCCUUUUGGUUGUAAAGCACUUUAAGCGAGGAGGAGGCUACCUGCAUUAAUACUCUAGGAUAGUGGACGUUACUCGCAUAAUAAGCACCGGCUAACUCUGUGCCAGCAGCCGCGGUAAUACAGAGGGUGCGAGCGUUAAUCGGAUUUACUGGGCGUAAAGCGUGCGUAGGCGGCUGAUUAAGUCGGAUGUGAAAUCCCUGAGCUUAACUUAGGAAUUGCAUUCGAUACUGGUCAGCUAGAGUAUGGGAGAGGAUGGUAGAAUUCCAGGUGUAGCGGUGAAAUUCGUAGACAUCUGGAGGAAUACCGAUGGCGAAGGCAGCCAUCUGGCCUAAUACUGACGCUGAGGUACGAAAGCCUGGGGAGCAAACAGGAUUAGAUACCCUGGUAGUCC
rnacentral:rRNA from 1 species